UCUGUGAGGGUUUUUGAAGUGUGUUUGAAAUUCUAAUUUUACUACCAGAUAAAGAAAAUACAUUUCCCUAAGAACUUAAUAAAAAUGCAGAGUUGAGAUUUCCUACCUCAGAUCUAAGGAAUUUUUGCACCUUUGGGAGAGAUGCCCAGUCACUUGUACUUCCAGAAACUUCCCCAAGCAACUCUGAUGCACCUCAAAGUUUGAGAACCGUCACAUUAGGCCAAUCUGACUUAUAAAUUGCUGGUUCCAAUUGCUUCAAAUGUUUCCUGUUGUGAAAAGGAGCAGAAACAAAGCGCCCGUUCAGAAAGCUGGCUGCCCUCUCCCCACCUGGCCUCAGGUGCCUGGGUUCUCCCUGGAGAGUUCAUGUCGCCUUCCUUAUCGCUCAGCAGCCUUUGAUCAGGAGCUUCUUCAUUCUGGCUCAUUCUUUACUUCAAAGCUGGGAAACCCGAUCAGCUCCUCUCUCUUCCCUCCACCCAGGGCCCAGCCAGCCCCACAGUUGGUUCGGUCACUUGGGAAGACUGGGCAGACCGGCUUCUCCUAGAGGCUAGAGGAAAAUCCUUUGUGUGGCACUCCUGUCUCAUUACUCCCCAACACAAUUGGUGCCACAGAGAAAGGAGGAGAAGAAAUAAAACCUCGUUCUAAGCCCGCCGCCAUGGGUGUGAAAUAACCACACUUAGGGUGCAGUUUUGGGAACAGUUUUGCAGUGUUCCGUCUCCUAAUCCCUGAGGCAAGUCUUCCUGGGUUAAACAGCAAACGUGCUUUAUAGAAUCCAGUCACUUGGAAGUUCCAGAAUGAAUCUCCUUUUAUGUGAGCAUUAAAAUUAGUUCCCAACGGCAAAGUUUACAAGGGAAGAUGAUAAAUGAUUUAGCUUUGUGAAUAUGGGGACAGUGAUAGCCCAAUUUCUUUGAUAAAUUAUUUCAUUUCAGAAGACUGGCAUGUGCUAAGUACUAGGAAAAAAGACAGACCAGGUGAGGAGAUGAAUGGAGUGAGAAGACAGCCCAGUGGAAUGAGAAACUAAUGAGGACCUAAAUGCCUGUGAUGGAGGUGAGGACAAAGGGGUAUCUUUAACAACACCAGGAGAGAGAAAACUGGAUGGACAAUAAUGCAGGGUGGCUUUUGUAUUGAGCUUGCUUGUGCCUAUGAACCAUGAUGAAUGACAAAUGCAAUUGCAUGCUGAAAACCGGGUUGAGUGAUCCAGGCUCAUUUAUGUGUCUGAACACCUAUAAUUACAGGACUUUAGAAAACACAGGAAAUGGAGAAACAUAGACAACCUACAAGCAAGUAAAGAGACAAUUCCAGAAUGUUAAAAUCUAUACGGGAAUGACAGUGUCUGCAAGCCAUUGAUAUUAAAAAAUAUAGUGAGUACUACUAUAGAUGAAUAAACAACCAAAUGUCAUGUAUAAACCCUGUUUGGAUCUUGAUAUAAUCACACAGACUGCAAAAUGACAUUUUGUGAGACAUAAGGAAAAAGUGAAUAUGUUUUGGGUAUUAGAUAAUACCAAUAAAGACAGUAAUUGCUAGUUUCAUCAGGCAUGACAGAUAGUACACGGGUAAUGUUUUUUACAAAGUUCAUAAUUUUAGAAAUGCCAAGGUGAAUGAAC
rnacentral:lncRNA from 1 species